AGGGUUUUUCACAUCGAUGAGAGUCCAAGCGGAACAUCGGAUGGGACACUGAACUUUGCCAAAGCCUUCACAGCCACCACAGAUCUGAUCUUCUGCAUCACAGCUUCAGACAGGAUGCUUAUAGUGGGCUGUGAGUCUGAUAUCUUACAGAGAUACAGUCAACAUCAGCCUCCUGCAGAAAUAUUCCCUUACGUCCAGACUGUAUCAGCUGUCCCUCAAUUGUAACUCCAGCCGGCUGACUAUUAUAGACAUCACGGGUGUGUUGACAUUUUUGGACGUAGAGACGCGGGCUUCGUCAGGGGAUGCAAAGGGUGGGUCGACAGCUGGAGACCCAUCUACAUUUGAGCGCAAGGAUGUCUGGGAUAAGAAGUGGGCUAAUGACAACCCAGAUCUUUUCUCUGUGAUAUGAAAACAAGAAUGUAUGUCUUCAGAAACCUGG